GGGGCUGUAGCUCAGUGGCAGAGCACUUGCCUACCAUGUGUGAGACACUGGGUUCGAUCCUCAGCACCA
rnacentral:tRNA from 1 species